GCCGUGACAAGGGGAUGGGCGACCCCGCGAUGCUGGAACCAUCGUGUCCUGAGAUAUGGCUUGCAGGUUCGACUCCUGCUCUCGGCG
rnacentral:tRNA from 1 species